rnacentral:rRNA from 1 species
UAGGGAAUUUUGCACAAUGGACGCAAGUCUGAUGCAGCAACGCUGCGUGAAGGAUGAAGGCUUUCGGGUCGUAAACUUCUUUUAUCUGGGAAUAAUCUUGAAGGUACCAGAUGAAUAAGCACUGGCUAACUACGUGCCAGCAGCCGCGGUAAUACGUAGAGUGCGAACGUUAUCCGGAUUUAUUGGGCGUAAAGAGCUCGUAGGUGGGCAGACAAGUCGUGUAUGAAAUAUCCAGGCUCAACCUGGGGAACGUAUUCGAUACUAUCUGUCUAGAGGUAUGCAGGGGAAGAUGGAACACACGGUGUAGCAGUGAAAUGCGUAGAUAUCGUGUGGAACGCCAAUGGUGAAGACAGUCUUCUGGGCAUUACCUGACACUGAGGAGCGAAAGCGUGGGGAGCGAACGGG